GAUGAACGCUGGCGGCGUGCCUAAUACAUGCAAGUCGAGCGAACAGACGAGGAGCUUGCUCCUCUGACGUUAGCGGCGGACGGGUGAGUAACACGUGGAUAACCUACCUAUAAGACUGGGAUAACUUCGGGAAACCGGAGCUAAUACCGGAUAAUAUAUUGAACCGCAUGGUUCAAUAGUGAAAGACGGUUUUGCUGUCACUUAUAGGUGGAUCCGCGCCGCAUUAGCUAGUUGGUAAGGUAACGGCUUACCAAGGCGACGAUGCGUAGCCGACCUGAGAGGGUGAGCGGCCACACUGGAACUGAGACACGGUCCAGACUCCUACGGGAGGCAGCAGUAGGGAAUCUUCCGCAAUGGGCGAAAGCCUGACGGAGCAACGCCGCGUGAGUGAUGAAGGUCUUCGGAUCGUAAAACUCUGUUAUUAGGGAAGAACAAAUGUGUAAGUAACUAUGCACGUCUUGACGGUACCUAAUCAGAAAGCCACGGCUAACUACGUG
rnacentral:rRNA from 1 species